rnacentral:rRNA from 1 species
CUCUCUAGUGACCGAUAGUGAACCAGUACCGUGAGGGAAAGGUGAAAAGCACCCCGGAAGGGGAGUGAAAUAGAACCUGAAACCGUGUGCUUACAAGUAGUCAGAGCCCGUUAAUGGGUGAUGGCGUGCCUUUUGUAGAAUGAACCGGCGAGUUACGAUUUGAUGCAAGGUUAAGCAGUAAAUGUGGAGCCGUAGCGAAAGCGAGUCUGAAUAGGGCGUUUAGUAUUUGGUCGUAGACCCGAAACCAGGUGAUCUACC